rnacentral:rRNA from 2 species
AUAUCCAUUAUGGAAAAUUCAACAUUAAUAUUAUAAUAUUUAUUUAUAAAUAUUAUAAAAAUAGUGUGCAAUUUUUCCAUAUAAGGACAUUGUAAUCUGUUAAUGUAAUAAAUAUUUAUCAUAAGAUUCAAUAAAUAAAAGUUUAUUCAAAUUAGUUAUUUUCCGAUUUCUAACAUAGAAUAAAUUUAAUUGAAUUUGAUAAAUCAUUGACAGAUUUAUUUAUAUAUAGUGCUUAAAUUCUUAAUUGAAUUUUACAAUAAUUUAUAAAUGUAUUUUCAUUUAUUUAUUUAUUGUAUGCACUUAUAUGAUUAACAAUGCUAUAGAUUCAGGAUACCUUCGGGACCCGUCUUGAAACACGGACCAAGGAGUCUAACAUAUGUGCAAGUCAUUGGGUAUUUUUAAUAAAACCCAAAGGCAUAAUUAACUUAACUGUUUUUAAUAUGGGAUUAAUUUAUAUUUUAUUAUGAAAUAUUAAUUCAAUCCCGGGGCGUUCUAUAUAGUUAUGUAUAAUAAUAUUUAUAUUAUUUAUGCCUCUAACUAGGGCGUACCUUGAGCAUAUAUGCUGUGACC